rnacentral:ncRNA from 1 species
UGUCGGCUCUUCUUCACUUGGGGUUGUAGUAUGUUCUAAGGGUUGAAUUGUUCACCGAUUAAAAUGAUAUGUGAGUUGGAUUUAGAACAUCGUGAGAUAGUUC